CCUGUAUUAGGCUUCCCCUAGAUUUGUCGAUGAAACUGAAUCCCACAGAUCCACAGACCUCUUCAAUGCCUCGUCGUUAAGACUCAGCUCAUGCCCGCCGCCAUCGGCACCCCCGUCACCGCCACCGCAGCAACCCAGAGCGGACAUUCUACCGCCGGCCACCGCCAACGUCGCCGGGCUCUUCGGUGGCCACCACUGGUUUCGUUCGGCGUGGCUACGCCGCCUCCCAAGGGGAAAAGGAUGAAGAGGAGGGAUGGUUAUGGUUGUGGUGGUGGCGGUGGAGUCGAGCUCCACCUUGCAGUUGGAGCUCCAUAUCUUGGUGCUCUACUUGAUUUUGAGAUUCGUCCUUUCAGAUAAAUGUAAAUACCCUGAGGGUAGGCAAUGCAAGCAUCACGUUGUUGUUCAUUUGGAAGGAUUGGAGUUUGUCUUCAGAUUUGCUCUUCUUUUACUGUAUAAAUCGAGGGAGCAAGACGAGAGGAGGUAAAUGAGAUAACAUAUGGAUGUUUUCAGAGAAAACAAAGAUUUUGUUUAUGGGUUCACCGAUGCUCUUGGCGUCUAUUGAUUUAGUGAAGUAACGUUCAAGUGCUUUCAGAACUUAUCUUAGAUGGGAGUAGUGUAUACAAGGUAGACAUUGAGCUCAUGGUCAGUUGCAUUGUAACUGCUAGACUGACUAGGAAGAUACAUAAUUUUGGUCUGGAGUUCCUACUUCUUUAGAGCUGAGAGAAUUUCAAUAUUAUUUUUUCCAUAUGAUCUAAUGUCUUGCAAGGGUAGAAUACAAAGCUACAGAUCAGACCAUAAUGUUUGUUGCAGCAGGUAACUCUGUAACCUAAUAUCAAAGAGCAUAUAGGUAAUUAUAUGUAAAAAUACCAAAAUAUCAGUGACCAGUAGUAAGUUGUGAUUGUAUAAUAUUCAGGCAUCGGAACUGGUUAAGGAAGAUAUUUGUCAUUGAUCUGGGACUGGUACUAGAACAUGCAUGAAUAAUUAUGUGUGCAAGUGGAUAGCUGUUAAUUUGAUAAAUAUAGUUUAGCUCUUUUAUAUGAGGGUACCACCAUUCAAAUAAUUCUAGUUUACCCAUAUAUGUGCAUAUUUGGACUUGUUCAUUGAAAUAGGCCCUUACCAGCUCUCUUGCACGAUUAUUGAAUUCAGUUAUUGCUAUCAGUAGUAAAAGUCAUGCAAAUUUCUGCAACUUCAGUUAUCAACAAUGUAAAUUAAGUCCUCUAUCAAUAUAUGCUAUAAGACAUCAUUAGUAGAUAGAGAACCAUGUGCAACUUUGGUUAUAAUAUUUGCAAUACCAGCACACAGUUUGUGCAACUUCAGUUAUCAACAAUGCAAAUUUCAACAGCAUAGCUGCAAUCCUCCUACCUCAUCCAUCCUUUUUCAAGUAGUCGUAAUCAUGAUUUUUAGCUGUGUACAGACUUAUGUGAAUGUGAAUUCCUAGGUUUAUGUGAAUGUGUGAUUUACGCUUCUUAAUUUGGUCUGAAUUGUGUAGGCUGAAAAACAUAUGUUGUUUUGAGCAGACUGAAUUUGUGAGGAUGGUUGUGCAGCUCAAUGCCACAAUUGUGCCCUUUGGAGUCAUCGGAGAGAACGACCUCAUAGUAGUAAACAACAUAAUCCUACACUCCUGCUCAGCAGAUAAAACUUCCAAAUGCUUCCACAUAAUUACGAUGCACUGAGAAUCUGAGAUUAUUUUUGUUUCUAUAGCUGCUCUGCACUUUUGCGGACAUCAAUAGUGUGCCUUUUUUUUGGCAAGGAGCUAAUGCAAGCAUACAAAAACAUCUCAAGCUAAGGUUUUUCACUGAUUUCAUUUCAUCAUAAUUUUGACAAAAAUUCUAAUAUGAACUAUCAAUUUUGUCCUAACUCUGACCAAACUCUGAACCAUUACUGAACAUGUGUUGAACUACAUAUAGGGCUUCUGCUUUGAGGAGGAAAACACUUUUGAUCUUUCGUUUGGUUAUCUUACAAUGUUUGUUUAGUACAGAACAACAUAAUAGAAUGAUAAAAAAUAGUUGCACUCUUUUUAAACUAAGGUUGCACAAAUUUAAAACAGGAGUUGCACAUGAUAAAAAAUAGCAACUGCUACUACUGAGCAGUGCAAUUUGGCUCACAAGUAAAAAAUAUUCAAAGUUCCUACUUUCCUGCACUGUUUUUCCUCCGGUUGUUUUACUGCCUUAAAAACAACCUCAUGUUAUUUGGCUUUCUAUUAAAUUUUAGAUAAUGGAUCUUAUUAGAUAAAUUAGCUUCCAGUUACUAAAUUGUUAUGUUAAAUUUAGAGGACAGUUUUUGUGUAUACUCUCUUUUCCUUUUUCCUUUUGAUCUUUAGAUUGGUUGUAUAAGCCUUUCCUCUUUGCUGUCAGUGUGCUUGGCAUUGAUUUGAUUAUGUUGUAUAAACCUCAAAAUAAAAAACUAAACAUUACUAUUAUGUUGUAUUUUGUAUUUUGAUGCAGCUUUAUGGCACUUGGCAAAAAGUGGGGCAAUAAAAUCAGUUAACAAGCAGCGGUGCUACACAAUUAAAUUGAGUAGUCAUUCUCUCUGCUCAUGGGAGAUUCUGAUUUUGUGUUUUGCCUUCUCUAUUGAUCUAUUUGAGAAUGCAACACCUAGUUUUUUUUGGUAGAGUGAAGAACUUUUGUUGGUUUGAACUUGAUUUGCUCAUCCAAAUCUGCUGCAAGGCAAGGAUUCUUUUUCUUAGUUAUUAGCCAUCUGCACUUGCACAACAUGUACACUAAACUUACACACAACAUAAACUAAACUUGCUUAAUUUGAAAAGGUGCAACUUUGACAUAAAUAAAGUGCAACUUCUGUACAUGUGAAGUGCAACAUAUCGUUUACUUUGUCUUUUAUUAAUUCUAUCAACCUAGAUGCAUUUAUAUGCUUAUAAUUCUUGAAGAGUUGGAUAUAAGCAUAUUUAUGCAUAGAUCAUACACCACCAAUAACAUAAAAACGUUUUGCUGCCAGUGUGCUUGGCAAUGAUUUGGUUUU